rnacentral:rRNA from 1 species
GACGAACGCUGGCGGCGUGCUUAACACAUGCAAGUCGAACGGAAAGGCCCUGCUUUUGUGGGGUGCUCGAGUGGCGAACGGGUGAGUAACACGUGAGUAACCUGCCCUUGACUUUGGGAUAACUUCAGGAAACUGGGGCUAAUACCGGAUAGGAGCUCCUGCUGCAUGGUGGGGGUUGGAAAGUUUCGGCGGUUGGGGAUGGACUCGCGGCUUAUCAGCUUGUUGGUGGGGUAGUGGCUUACCAAGGCUUUGACGGGUAGCCGGCCUGAGAGGGUGACCGGCCACAUUGGGACUGAGAUACGGCCCAGACUCCUACGGGAGGCAGCAGUGGGGAAUAUUGCACAAUGGGCGGAAGCCUGAUGCAGCAACGCCGCGUGCGGGAUGACGGCCUUCGGGUUGUAAACCGCUUUCGCCUGUGACGAAGCGUGAGUGACGGUAAUGGGUAAAGAAGCACCGGCUAACUACGUGCCAGCAGCCGCGGUGAUACGUAGGGUGCGAGCGUUGUCCGGAUUUAUUGGGCGUAAAGGGCUCGUAGGUGGUUGAUCGCGUCGGAAGUGUAAUCUUGGGGCUUAACCCUGAGCGUGCUUUCGAUACGGGUUGACUUGAGGAAGGUAGGGGAGAAUGGAAUUCCUGGUGGAGCGGUGGAAUGCGCAGAUAUCAGGAGGAACACCAGUGGCGAAGGCGGUUCUCUGGGCCUUUCCUGACGCUGAGGAGCGAAAGCGUGGGGAGCGAACAGGCUUAGAUACCCUGGUAGUCCACGCUGUAAACGGUGGGUACUAGGCGUGGGGUCCACUCCACGGGUUCCGUGCCGUAGCUAACGCUUUAAGUACCCCGCCUGGGGAGUACGGCCGCAAGGCUAAAACUCAAAGGAAUUGACGGGGCCCCGCACAAGCGGCGGAGCAUGCGGAUUAAUUCGAUGCAACGCGUAGAACCUUACCUGGGUUUGACAUGGAUCGGGAGUGCUCAGAGAUGGGUGUGCCUCUUUUGGGGUCGGUUCACAGGUGGUGCAUGCCUGUCGUCAGCUCGUGUCGUGAGAUGUUGGGUUAAGUCCCACAACGAGCGCAACCCUUGUUCACUGUUGCCAGCACGUUAUGGUGGGGACUCAGUGGAGACCGCCGGGGUCAACUCGGAGGAAGGUGGGGAUGACGUCAAGUCAUCAUGCCCCUUAUGUCCAGGGCUUCACGCAUGCUACAAUGGCUGGUACAGAGAGUGGCGAGCCUGUGAGGGUGAGCGAAUCUCGGAAAGCCGGUCUCAGUUCGGAUUGGGGUCUGCAACUCGACCUCAUGAAGUCGGAGUCGCUAGUAAUCGCAGAUCAGCAACGCUGCGGUGAAUACGUUCCCGGGGCU